AAUAUGGAUAAAAUGGAAAAAAGCGUCACACAUAUGGCUCCGUACAAGUUGCUUCACAGCUGGCUGGUGGACCUCUCGAACUAAAAACUAUACCUCACCAGUGCGCACGCCUCCGCCACGUCAGCAUUGAACAUCCCCUUUGAUCUUCCGUCACGCCUUCUAUCUGGUCACAGGCCGUAAAAUCCUCCAGAGAGACAUCCCAGCUGUCGGAUGCACGUACCAGGGUGUAUGGAGCUCCGCAGGUACCCUUUUUCUGCAUUUGAAUCUAAAGCCAUCAAAAAUAUGAUCCAACCUAUCAAUUCAAAUCAUAUUCGAUUUAUUAUAAAUAAAUUUAAAUUUAUUGAAAUAAUCAAAUCCACUCUCUUCGAUUCAAAAUUGAUCUCUUACUCC
rnacentral:lncRNA from 1 species